rnacentral:misc_RNA from 1 species
AAAUGCGAUAAGUAAUGUGAAUUGCAGAAUUCAGUGAAUCAUCGAAUCUUUGAACGCACAUUGCGCCCGCCAGUAUUCUGGCGGGCAUGCCUGUUCGAGCGUCAUUACAACCCUCAGGCCCCCGGGCCUGGCGUUGGGGAUCGGCGGAAGCCCCCUGCGGGCACAACGCCGUCCUCCAAAUACAGUGGCGGUCCCGCCGCAGCUUCCAUUGCGUAGUAGCUAACACCUCGCAACUGGAGAGCGGCGCGGCCACGCCGUAAAACACCCAACUUCUGAAUGUUGACCUCGAAUCAGGUAGGAAUACCCGCUGAACUUAAGC